GAAAGGUACGGGUUGCAGAUUACUCCUUUGUAGAAGUCCGUAACGUGAAAUAAAUAAACGUCCCAAGGUUAAUGCUGUAGAUAUUGUUAUAAGGGGAUGUGAGACUAUCGAAACACGUAACUUUCAGAGUUUUAUUGUUGUUAUUAAUAUAGUUACAGAGUGCUAAAAGUGUUGCUAGCUAGCAUGACUUUCUUUCUGUGAUGCAAACGGCUAGCUGAGCUGCCGACUAGUGAUGGUGUUGCAUUAUGGGGGAUGUAGUUUUUGCCCUCUAAGGCGAUUUUACGUUGUAACUUUUUUGUGUUGCAGUGGUUUUGUACAUGAGUUGUUGUAUUUUGCUACUAUCAACACUGAAAGCACCUAGCAAUGUAUUGGGGAUGUGAGACAGGAUAUGUGUUUUACCUUUCUUCAUGCUCCUGUGUAGAACAACUUGUCAGGUGGUGCAUUGGAGACUGAUGUGUUCCUGUCCUGUCUUUUCAUAAUACUAUUGCAGAUCUGCCAACCAGCCUAACCCACAGCUAGAGUGGGACACUGUCCUUUUUCCUGUGAGGACAAUCUGACAAAUACUGGUAUGAAACAGAAGAGAAAAUAACAUGUUGGUGUGUAUUUGAACGGCAUCCCACCCAGCCUGUCAGUUUCCCCGACUGUGGAAGACUGCAGCGGAAACCGAAUGCCCUGUCUGUCAGAGCCACAGCACACACAUUCUGACUCUGUCAAAGCCACGUACACACACACACACACACACACAUUCUGACUCUGUCAAAGCCACAACGCACGUACACACACACACACACACACAAACACCAGCCGUGUUGCAAGCCUCCACACAAUUACACACACUCUCCUGUUUGAUUAAAAUGAGUACCAGUGUUUAAGCCCCAGUGUUUAAGCCCCAGGGUUUAAGCCCCAGGGUUUAAGCCCAAGUGUUUAAGCCCCAGUGUUUAAGCCCCAGUGUUUAAGCCCCAGGGUUUAAGUCCAAGUGUUUAAGCCCCAGUGUUUAAGCCCCAGUGUUUAAGCCCCAGUGUUUAAGUCCAAGUGUUUAAGCCCCAGUGUUUAAGCCCCAGUGUUUAAGCCCCAGUGUUUAAGUCCAAGUGUUUAAGUCCAAGUGUUUAAGCCCCAGUGUUUAAGCCCCAGUGUUUAAGCCCCAGGGUUUAAGUCCAAGUGUUUAAGCCCCAGUGUUUAAGCCCCAGUGUUUAAGCCCCAGGGUUUAAGUCCAAGUGUUUAAGCCCCAGUGUUUAAGCCCCAGUGUUUAAGCCCCAGUGUUUAAGCCCCAGUGUUUAAGCCCCAGUGUUUAAGUCCAAGUGUGAAUGCAUCAGAAUUCCAUUAAUCUCAGUGUCAGUUGAUAUCAGGCCUGGCAGACAGCUCAAAUAAAUCCACCUGCCUUGACCAAAUUAUGCCUCAAUACGCCAUUAAACAACAAUGAAUAAAUGAGAAGUACUUUCGUUAGUUUGAGAACAGAAUAUGUUGUGGAUUAUGUUCCCCCCAAAAAUAUAAAACACACUAAAAAGUUUAAUUUCAAUGUAAUUUGUUGACAGCUAUGUCUAUGUAUGAUAAGAGUUCGAAUAGAAUAGAGUGCGAGAAGAGAGACGUGAAGAGACUUUGUGAAGAAAGUGAGAGAGGUGUCAGACUAACAAUGUUCUCUGUGAAAUCAAGAUGUCUCCCAACUGAAUGUUUGUCCAGGCACUAUUCACAGAGCAACAGAUGGCAAAUGGAAUGCGGAGUUUGUAUGGAUGAAAGGACACGAAGAGUCUAGGACACAGAGAGACAGACGGACGGACGGGAGGACGGCCGGGUGUGCAGACAGCCAGACAGACUCAGGAUAUCUUCUGCUCAAAGUCUCUCAGACUCAAACAAAGUUAUUUGUCCUGGGGCGGACCUCAGAUAAAAAUGACAAAUUAAUGUAAAGUUUUAACAAACAUGUUUUAACUAGAUUUACAGCACUUUCACUCAGUAAUGGUUUUUCUAUAGACUGGCAUGAACACACCAGUACUACUGUUUCUCUAGCUUUGCUGUUAAGUAGAUUUUCCUCACACUCCUAUGUGUGUGUGUGUGUGUGUGUGUGUGUGUGUGUGUGUGUGUGUGUGUGUGUGUGUGUGUGUGUGUGUG
rnacentral:lncRNA from 1 species